UGGGUUUUGAAAGAUUUUGGUAAAUUGUUGCUCUCCUUAAUACAGGAGGAGGCUGUUUAUUCACCGUUGAAGAAACGGGUGUUGUUCUAUUCCUAAAUUGAUAAACCCUUUUAUCUUCAUUCACUGUUUUCUUGGGUUUCUGUUCUUCAUUCACUGCUUUCUUGGGUUUAUGUUCUGGUGAUGAUGCUUUUGUUUCCACUUUCUUAGUCUUCUCUUCUGGUAUUUGAAUCUCCUUAACUUCAAGGCUCUUCUUCUCAAUCUCAAUCUCCACCUCCUCAUCUAUUCCUUCCUCUUCCUCAUCUCCAUCUAAUUUUUCAUCCCCAUCAAUAACCAUAUCAUCAUGAUCAUCUUGAUUAUCCGCCAAGAGUUGAGGAGGUGAUUUGAUUAGUGCCCCAUUGGCUUCAUUGAUAGGAAUGACCUUUUCUCUGCACACACCAAACUCUUUGCAAGAUUCCUCAGAUCCAGUUUCCUCAAUUUCAGGUGGACUCUUCUCAAUUCUACUAACAGAAUC
rnacentral:misc_RNA from 1 species